rnacentral:rRNA from 1 species
UACGUAGGUGACCAGCGUUGUCCGGAUUUACUGGGCGUAAAGAGCGCGCAGGCGGUCGUUCAAGUCGAGUGUGAAAGCCCCCGGCUCAACUGGGGAGGGUCACUCGAUACUGAUCGACUUGAAGGCAGGAGAGGGAAGCGGAAUUCCCGGUGUAGUGGUGAAAUGCGUAGAUAUCGGGAGGAACACCAGUGGCGAAGGCGGGUCUCUGGACAGUUCCUGACACUGAGACACGAAGGCCAGGGGAGCAAACGGG